GCCUGGUCUCCAUGGAGACGGCUUCCCCGGGAGCAGGGAGGUCAGGCGCAGACCGCGCGCAAUCAAUGGAUCAAUGCAAGCUCCGCUCGGCUCCAGACCAAACAGCACCGGGCUCCGACUCGUCCUCGCUCCCCUAGGAAAGAGUCGGGGAGCGAGGGUGCGUCCCCGCGCUCGCUCGCGAGGACGGCCGUGCGGCGCCAGGUUUGAACGCACACCUCCACCCGAGACAAAGAGGGUGCGAGGUGUUGGGGAGGCUGGGGCAGACGUGGACACACGGACACACGGGCACUCGGGCGUGUCCACCGACACAGCCUGACAGGGGACAUAGGACCUCGGAACACACCGCCUCCGACACCAGGCCGAGUAACAACCUCUCAACUUUUACACCUACCACACCCCCAACCUCAAGACUCAGUCCCCAUUCCUAGAUGCGAGUCCACUUUGAGGACCAAAAAGAAAGUAGCCUCCGCCUGCUAAAACUGCCAGCUCCAGGGCAGACUCCCUUGCAGUUAAGGCCUUGGAGGUAAGCCUAAUGAACCACCCUACCCGCAGAGACAUGGACUCACAUACAGACACUCUCAUGUGGUCAGCACAGGGGCGAAAGCUACCCCACAGAAUCAUGUCUAUGUGUAUAAACACAGAGACAUAGAGACAGGUACAAGAGGCUCCUCCAAACCUGCACCCCGCUUCAAGAGGUGGUCCUGACUGGUCCAUUCUGAACCCUUCAUCCUUCCAACUGAGGGGAAGCAGAGGAAAGAGAAAGGAUAUUUUUAAAACAGGGGCAAACCGCAGAAGGAGCAGGGUCUUCCAACCAUGGAUGCUGCCUCUUGACUGUUCACCCACUCUGUAUCUUCUUUCCUUCCAUUGUAAGGGAAAGAGGAAAGACCUCUUGAAAGGCUAUGAAGACUUUCUUGGAGUGUGAGGCUGUGUUCAGAAUGAGACCAGGCCAGGUCCAGUUUUCUACAGGGAAGAUGCUGCUAGGACCCAGACUAGCCUCACAGAGCCCUCAGCGUACCCAGGAGGAAGAGGCAAUGACCAAGAUCUCCUCAAAGAACGUAAGCUCCAUCAGAGCAGGGACCAUGUCUGGCUUGUUCACUAUCGUGUCCUCAUCAUCUCCUGUACUGCCUGCCACAUGGUAGGUCCUCGGUGAUUACCUGUGGAAUGAAUGAAUAAGGGUGGCAGGAGUUCAGAGAGGGAGAGGGACUCUUCUGGAAGGUUAAGGGAAGGUUUCCUGGGCAUGCUGAGGCUUGAAGCUUGGGUAGGAGGUGGGGAGGGUAAUCUGGGACAGAAUUUAGGGGAUGGCAGAAGCAGGGGCCUAAAGAAUUUCACAGUGGCCAAAAUGUGCUGCAAUUAACCCAAGUGACAUCCAGGCAGCAGGAACUUGUCAUGGGGCAGAAGAACAAGUCUGAUGUGAAUAUGAUUCUCAGUCUGAGUGGAUCCAAGGGGGUGAAGUAGUUGAGUCCCCUAAGUUGUUGAGGAAGUAGGGAGGGAAAUCAGUUAGGCUAGAGCCUAGCAAAACCAGGGCCAAACCAGGGAGGGUUUGAUUGCUGAGACUGGAGUAUGGAAUUGGCUGAGCCACUGAAAGGUGAUGAUUAUUCCUCCCCUGGUAUCUGAUGUUGGUGAUCUUGACUUCUCUGAUCCCCUCGGAUCCCCAGAACCAGCUCUGUGAUCCUAAGUGAAGUCAAGGGACUGACCGGACACAUGAACCUAGAUCUCUGCAAAGAGCCCUGGGACCCAAAUGGGAGAGGUCCAGGGCCUGGUUCCAUCAUCCCUCCCUCUCUUGAUGUGUGGCCUUGCUCAAGGCGUUGGACUGCAGUGGACCUCCAUGUCCUUCUUUUGGAAAACAGAGUUAACAAUACCUGCCCCAUUCAGAGGAGAAAUGAGGUCAUGUUUGUGCAGCACAGUGAGCUCACUGGAGACAAUGAGUGUAUUCUUCUUAACAGUAACAAUAAUAAUCAUUACUGAAAAUCUAACCAGUAAAUAUAUCUCCUCAAAGCUGGAGUUGGCCCCUCAGUAGGAUAGCAAUUAAAGUUUUUUUAAAAAUCUCUAGAUGGGGAAAUUUUCUGGCUGCAUUUUGAUCUCUGGGGUUUGCAGAGUUGAUAUCAUUGUGGGAGGGAGAGAGGCCUGCAGCAAUCAUUCAUCUCAAUUCCAUUCAAUUGUACUUUUUGUAUCUCCCUUGUCCUUGAGUUCUAUCCACUGGGCUUUGCAAUUUCUCAUCCUCUAUUAGUCCUGAGGGAAAGAAGUCCCUAAAUUCCGCAUCUCCACACUCACCCGCUGUCCCAUUCACUGACAUAAACAGUGACCUGGCUACUGGAGAUCCUGGGCAUUCGAGCAUUGGCCACAAACUAUCCUGCAAAGAAAGUGGUCUGUCUUGGGUACAUGAUUCUCUUUCCUGCUCAUCCCACUUAGUGGGCCAGUGAUUCCCAAGCCGAGCUGUGCAUUCAAAGCCCCCAGGAGUGGGUCCAUGGAUUAUCAGGUGAUUCUAAUUUAGCCAGCCUAGCACCUGUCUGAAUUUGAGAAUUGCAAGGUUUUCAACCAUUAGUUGUUAAAUGUGUGUACAAGGAGCAGAGUGAUGCUAAUACAAAGGCAUUGUUGCAGUUUGGGUCAAGCUGGCAAAAGACCGUCUCUCCUGCUACAAUACACAAAAUGACAGAAAAACUCUUGGAACAAAUAAAAUAGUAAAUCCAAUAUCGUGUGAUAAAACAGAGAACCAUCAGCAGAUCAGAAAUGUUGGAUCUGUGAGAGAGAAAGAUAAAUGGCAUCAAAGCUAUAAAGAGGCCGGGCGCGGUGGCUCACGCCUUUAAUCCCAGCACUUUGGGAGGCCGAGGCAGGCAGAUCACUUGAGGUCAGGAGUUCAAGACCAGCCUGGCCAACAUGGCAAAACCUCGUCUCUACUAAAAAUACAAAAAAAAUUAGCCAGGUAUGGUGGCGUGCGCCUAUAAUCCCAGCUACUCAGGAGGCUGAGGCAGGAGAAUCGCUUGAAUGCGGGUGGAGGUUGCAGUGAGCCAAGAACAUGCCACUGCACUCCAGCCUGGGCGACAGAGCAAGAUUCUGUCUCAGGAGAAAAAAAAAAAAAGCUAUAAAGAAAUAAAACUGAAGGAAACCACAGCUAAAACAUGCAGGAGAAGACUGCUAUGGAGAAAAGAGUGGUUUGGGGGACUCCAAGCCUGAGUCAACAGACUCAAAGAAACCAGAGGAGGUCCCAGGGAUAUUCCUGAACACCAGUGCUCAACAGCUAGCAGCAGUGGAUUUGCCCCAAGGUGCUGGGCUAGAGAGGUAAGCAAUACUCCAAGUAGCUACUGACACUCUGGGAGAGGAAUAGGGAGCCCUCAGCCAGGAGAAAGACUGUCAGCAGGCCACUCACCUCUCUCCCACUCCCCGUAACAGAGACAGGCUACAGUGAACAGAAAGCUGGCAAAUUAAGGAUGAGCAGAACAUCAAUAAUCACCAAAAAUUUAAUGAAAAAUAUAACCAUGACAGGGAGUAGCCCCAAGCCAAUAUUAUCCAAUAGAACUUUCUGCAGUGAUGGAAAUGUUCUAUAUUUGAGCUGUCCAAUAUGUAGCCACAUACCACAUGUGGCUAUUGAGCACUUGAAGUGUGGCAUCCGCAACUGAAAAACUGAAUUUUUAAUUUAGUUUUAAUUAAAUUUAAGCAGCAAGGCUCUACUGUAUUGGAUAGCAUAGCUCUAAACUUAACAUAUGGAAGAGUUAAUGCCCAAAGUAACAGAGAUAAUAGAGCAAACAAAAACAGAAACCAGUUUGGUUGAUGUAUAAUUGUUAUCUUCAAGAGAUGCAAAAUAAUAUUAAAUCCAUUUAAAAGAAUCAAUCAGGAGUCUAAGAAAUUUAAAAAUUGAUCAUUGAAAUUCAAAACUCAGUAGAUGGUCUAGAUAGGUUUAAUGAUCAGGAAGACUGUCCUGAGAAAGUCUCCUUAAGCACAUUAAAAAAGAUAAAAAGAUGGAAAGUCUGAGAGAAAAAAUUAAGAACCAUCUGUGGGAUAGGCAUUACAGAAAGCUAGAGCUUCAGAGAAUAGAAGAGGGAAAAUAAUUAAAGAACUAACAAAAGAAAAUUUCCCAAUUGCUGAAGAAAGAAGUUAAUCAUUAGCUUGACCUCUCCCAGGGAAAAAGACUCACACCUAGACAUAUUAUAGUAAAACUUCAUAACAACAAAAAUAAAGAAAAAAAAUCCUAGAAGCUUCUGGAGAGAAAAAAAGCAGGUCUUCAAUAGAAUAAUAUUAAAUUGGCAUCAGACUGGAUGUUAAAAGACAAUGAAAUAUUAUCUUCAAGGCCCUGAAGGGAAAUGAAGUAUUCAAGUGGGAGGAAAAAAUUAAGAUUUUUUUUUUUGUUUUACAAGAAGAAAGUUUGCCACCCUCGUAUUCCUUAAAGAAUUUCCAGAGGAGGUGCUUCAAUAGAAAAAUAGUGAAUUCAGGAAAGAGGAAGACGUGGGAUGCCGAAACUGUGGUGAACAAAGAAACGAGUAAAACUUUUAGUGAAGUCUGAGUAAUUAUUGAGGCAUAAUGUAAACAUUUUAAAAACAACAAUUUGGAGCAAUAAUCUACCCAGAUGAUCUCAACUUGGGAGGUGGCAGGUGGGGGAGGAGAAGGAGGAAAGUUAAAUAAUGCUACGGGAGAAAAAGUUCCUGAUCAGCUCUAGUCAUUUAUAGAAAACUAGAAGUUAAAGGAUUCAUCUGCCUCAGAGGGUAUGGAAGAAAAAAAAAAAAGCAGGAUUCAAAUUUAAAGGUAAUCAGCAGAAGAUGGAGAAUUGGAAAAUCAACUUCCAGAUCAAUAGAGCAAGUUAAAAAGAUGGGGAAGGGGGCAAAGAUCAGUCUAACAAAAAGCAGGGAAAGAGAGGAAAAAAGAUAAGAAGAAAACAAGGUGAAGAGGAAGCAUAAAAUAAAAUGACAGGACAAGUCUAAAGAUAUCAUUAAUAAUACAUGAGAAAAGAGAAAAUUCCCCAUUAAAGGGCAUCCUUCUAUACAUAUGAUUUUUACAGAGAUGUACUGAAACUGACAAGAUCAUUUUGAAUAUGAACAGAUGGGGGAAAUAUAUCAAGCAAAUAAUAACAAAAAGAAAGGAAGUAUAUUAGUAUCAGACAAAAUGAAAUCCAAAGACAAAAAGCAUUAAAAGAAACAAAGAAAGGCUGGGCAUGGUGGCUCAAGCCUGUAAUCCCAGCACUUUGGGAGGCUGGGGUGGGUGGAUCUCUUGAGGUCAGGAGUUCAAGACCAGCCUGGCCAACAUGGUGAAACCCCAUCUCUACUGAAAAUACACGCCUGUAGUCCCAGCUACUUGGGAGGCUGAGGUGGAAGGAUCGCUUGAGCUUGGGAAGCAGAGGUUGCAGUGAGCCGAGAUUGCACCACUGCACUCCAGCCAAAAAAAGAAAAAAACAAACAAAUAAAGAAGGAGAUAUAUUGGUGAAAAUUAUAAUCUUCCAAACACAUACAAUUUCCACGAUUCUUUAGGCACCUAACAACCCAGCUUCAAAAUAUGUAAAGUAAACACUGAUACAAACAAAGGAGAAAUGAACAAAUCUAUGGCUAUGGAUGAAAGCUUUAAUAGACCUGUCUCAGAAAUCUGUGGAUCAAGUGACAAAAGUCAUAAUGAAAAUAAUAGAGGAUUUGAGUGACACAAUUAAUCAACUUUAAUAAAUGUUAUAUCCAACAAAUUGAGAGACAUUUUUUUCAAAUACCUGUUUAGCAUUCACAAAAAGAAAUACUCAAAAAAAUUAUGAAAACGAUAUUACAUCAGCCAUUUUCUCUUUCUACAAUACAUAAGAAAAUAGCCUCAGGCUGGGCGCGGUGGCUCACACCUGUAAUCCCAGCACUUUGGGAGGCCGAGGCGGGCAGAUCAAGAGGUCAGGAGAUCGAGACCAUCCUGGCUAACAUAAGAAAAUAGCCUCAGGCUGGGCGCGGUGGCUCACACCUGUAAUCCCAGCACUUUGGGAGGCUGAGGCGGGCGGAUCAAGAAGUCAGGAGAUAGAGACCAUUCUGGCUAACAUGGUGAAACCCCAUCUCUACUAAAAAUACAAAAAAAUUAGCCAGGAGUGGUGGCGGGUGUCUGUAGUCCCAGCUACUCGGGAGGCUGAGGCAGGAGAAUGGCAUGAACCUGGGAGGCAGAGCUUGCAGUGAGCCGAGAUCACACCACUGCACUCCAGCCUGGGCGACAGAGCAGGACUCCGUAAAAAGAAAAGAAAAUAGCCUCAAAAUGCUGGGAUGUGAUGGCACUCCAUAUUUACCUGUAAAUGUAAACUAAUUUACAGGAAAUUCCCUGGAACCCAAAGCCUGGCUUAUCUCUGCUACAGCUCUGCUCUGGGGUGUACUUAUGAGUUUAAGUUUCACAAAUGAAUGUCACCUUCAUGGUAUCCCAGUAGGGGGAACAUUAUCUCUGCUCCCAGUAGUACUCAGCUUGGUAUUUAAAGCCCAGCCCCCACAAUCUAACCCCAGUCUUUCCUUUUUCACCUCUCCUGUUUCUCCAAAAUGCAAAAUGCCAUAAACUCUUGGUACACUCACCACCUCUUGGGUAUUCCCAGGAUAUCUGGGAGCCCAUACACUUGGUCCAUGACACUCAUCCUGUUGCUUAACUCAUGCCCCGUUACUUAACUCUUCCAUCUGUGCAAAGCUCUCCUUCUCAAACAGCAAACUGUGGAUCAAGGGUCAAAUCUGGCCUGACUCCUGUUUUAAUAAAUAAAGUUUUAUUGGAACCCA